rnacentral:rRNA from 1 species
UACGUAGGGUGCGAGCGUUGUUCGGAAUCAUUGGGCGUAAAGCGCGUGUAGGCGGUUAGUUAAGUCUCAUGUGAAAUCCCUCGGCUCAACCGAGGAAGUGCAUGAGAAACUAACUAGCUAGAAGAUGGUAGAGGAAGGUGGAAUUCCAGGUGUAGAGGUGAAAUUCGUAGAUAUUUGGAGGAAUACCGGUGGCGAAGGCGGCCUUCUGGGCCAGUCUUGACGCUGAGACGCGAAAGCGUGGGUAGCAAACAGG